AACGAACGCUGGCGGCAUGCCUAACACAUGCAAGUCGAACGAGACCUUCGGGUCUAGUGGCGCACGGGUGCGUAACGCGUGGGAACCUGCCCUUAGGUUCGGAAUAACUCCCCGAAAGGGGUGCUAAUACCGGAUAAUGUCUUCGGACCAAAGAUUUAUCGCCUUUGGAUGGGCCCGCGUUGGAUUAGCCAGUUGGUAGGGUAAAAGCCUACCAAGGCGACGAUCCAUAGCUGGUCUGAGAGGAUGAUCAGCCACACUGGGACUGGGACACGGCCCAGACCACUGAGGGGAGGAAGCAGGGGGGAAUGUUGAACAAGGGGCGAAAGCCGAAACCACCAUGGCCGGGGGAGUAAAAAGGCCCUUGGGUUUGAAAAGCUUUUUUACCCGGAAUGAUAAGACCAGUACGGGGAGAAUAACCCCCGCCAAACUCCGG
rnacentral:rRNA from 1 species